rnacentral:rRNA from 1 species
AGUCGAGCGAGACCUUCGGGUCUAGCGGCGGACGGGUUAGUAACGCGUGGGAAUAUACCCUUCACUACGGAAUAGCCUCGGGAAACUGGGAGUAAUACCGUAUACGCCCUUUGGGGGAAAGAUUUAUCGGUGAAGGAUUAGCCCGCGUCUGAUUAGAUAGUUGGUGGGGUAAUGGCCUACCAAGUCUACGAUCAGUAGCUGGUUUGAGAGGAUGAUCAGCAACACUGGGACUGAGACACGGCCCAGACUCCUACGGGAGGCAGCAGUGGGGAAUCUUAGACAAUGGGCGCAAGCCUGAUCUAGCCAUGCCGCGUGAGUGACGAAGGCCUUAGGGUCGUAAAGCUCUUUCGCCAGAGAUGAUAAUGACAGUAUCUGGUAAAGAAACCCCGGCUAACUCCGUGCCAGCAGCCGCGGUAAUACGGAGGGGGUUAGCGUUGUUCGGAAUUACUGGGCGUAAAGCGCACGUAGGCGGAUUGGAAAGUAUGGGGUGAAAUCCCAGGGCUCAACCCUGGAACGGCCUUGUAAACUCCCAGUCUAGAGUUCGAGAGAGGUGAGUGGAAUUCCAAGUGUAGAGGUGAAAUUCGUAGAUAUUUGGAGGAACACCAGUGGCGAAGGCGGCUCACUGGCUCGAUACUGACGCUGAGGUGCGAAAGUGUGGGGAGCAAACAGGAUUAGAUACCCUGGUAGUCCACCCCGUAAACGAUGAAUGCCAGACCUCGGGGGGCUUGCCCUUCGGUGUCCCACCUAACGGAUUAAGCAUUCCGCCUGGGGAGUACGGUCGCAAGAUUAAAACUCCAAGGAAUUGACGGGGGCCCCCACAAG